CACGUAGGGCGCAAGCGUUGUCCGGAAUUAUUGGGCGUAAAGAGCUCGUAGGUGGUUUGUUACGUCUGCUGUGAAAACCUAGGGCUUAACCCUGGGCUUGCAGUGGAUACGGGCAGACUAGAGGUAGGUAGGGGAGAAUGGAAUUCCUGGUGUAGCGGUGAAAUGCGCAGAUAUCAGGAGGAACACCGGUGGCGAAGGCGGUUCUCUGGGCCUUACCUGACACUGAGGAGCGAAAGCGUGGGAGCGAACAGG
rnacentral:rRNA from 1 species